UACGUAGGGCGCAAGCGUUAUCCGGAAUUACUGGGCGUAAAGCGCACGUAGGCGGCUUUGUAAGUUAGAGGUGAAAGCCCGGGGCUCAACCCCGGAAUUGCCUUUAAGACUGCAUCGCUUGAAUCCAGGAGAGGUGAGUGGAAUUCCGAGUGUAGAGGUGAAAUUCGUAGAUAUUCGGAAGAAUACCAAUGGCGUAGGCAGCUAACUGGUCGACACUUGACGCUGAGGCACGGAAAGCGUGGGGAGCAAACAGG
rnacentral:rRNA from 1 species